GGGUGUAUAGCUCAGUGGUAGAGCAUUCGACUGCAGAUCGGGAAAUCCCGGUUCAAACCCGGGUGUCCCCU
rnacentral:tRNA from 1 species